UACGUAGGGUGCGAGCGUUAAUCGGAUUUACUGGGCGUAAAGCGUGCGCAGGCGGCCCGUUAAGACAGGUGUGAAAUCCCUGGGCUCAACCUAGGAAUUGCGCUUGUGACUGGCGGGCUCGAGUACGGUAGAGGGGGGUGGAAUUCCUGGUGUAGCAGUGAAAUGCGUAGAGAUCAGGAGGAACACCGAUGGCGAAGGCAGCCCCCUGGGCCUGUACUAACGCUCAUGCACGAAAGCGUGGGGAGCAAACAGG
rnacentral:rRNA from 1 species